UUGUGCAGGAUUCCAGAAAACACAAUUUAUGGCACAUGUCCAGUUCUUAUUUACUAACCAGAGAACUAGCUGCAGCUGUUUAUUAUGACUGGUUGUGCCAGUUUGAUAGUGUGUAAUCAUAUUUACAUAAAGAUAAAAAGGAAGGUGUUAUAGAAUAGCAUUUAGCCAUGCUUUUACCAUGAAUUAAAGGUAAUUUUAGAGUAAUUAGGUGUAAUUUGUUAAAGAAUUCUUCCCAGCAAAUGAUGACUCUGAUUUCAUAAUUACAGGACAAUGCAUACUAUGGCUUUCAAGGUAGGAUAAAACAUACCUGAGGGGAUAGCGUCCCACACUAGGCAGAUCUAGUGUUGUUAUGAAAGGCAGGUGUUUUGUGAGAUUUCAGCUACACACUUUAACACCUGCAAUGUAUUAGCCAUAGCAGUGAUGUUAAUGAAGAACAGGUGCUUCUUUCACCCUCCAGACGAGAAACUGGCAUAAGUGUUACUGUGUGCUGUGUGGGACUCUCCCAUUUGUAUCUCCAGAUGGGCUCUGAUGCCUGCCAGAAGGUUUCAGAUUGUCCACUCCCUGCAAUUUAUAACAGUUAAGGAGAAGUUAAUAAUGGCUCUGAGAGGGGAGAAAAAAAGAAACCUAUUGAAAAGGAAAAUAAAAGGGAAAAGGUCUACAUUCUCAGCAGGAGCUUGGUUAAUUAUCUGACUCCUUCCCAGCCACUUCUGGCACAUGACAUUACCUCAGGAAAACAAUUAGCCUUUCUGCGCUGUGUGAAAAACACAGGGAUGGCCAAACACCAGAAUGUGUGACAUGGUGUUUAACUCUAAGGGCCUAGUUAAAUUAGAGCAGACCUGAAGUACUGCAGAUAUAUGGCUUGUUGUUCCUUUUUUUUGAACUGGAAAUACAGAGUAGGAGGAGAAAGGAAAGUUAUGCAUAAGGUAGUUUUUAAAGGCUAAGACGUGUUGUAGUGUAUGUAAUGAAUCCUAUUGUACUGUCCAAUUAAUGAACUCUCCUGUACUGAACUCAGAAGCAGCAAAGAAGUAGACUCAUACAAUGUGUUUUCUUUCCUU